rnacentral:rRNA from 1 species
GGUGAACGCUGGCGGCAGGCCUAAUACAUGCAAGUCGAACGAACACACAAUAAGCUCUCGCCUCUAACGGUAGCGGCUGACGGAUGGGUAACAAAUGGAUAGGCUUCUUAUUUUACUUGGAGGACUUCGUAAAGCCGCUUCCGAUACUACAGAAUACAUCCUACCGCAUAGAGCAAGAGUUAUUCACACCUUGCCUGUUACUAUUAGAUGGAGCCGCGCCGCAUUAGCUAGUUGGUAAGGUAACGGCUUACCAAGGCAACGAUGCGUAGCCGACCUGAGAGGGUGAUCGGCCACACUGGAACUGAGACACGGUCCAGACUCCUACGGGAGGCAGCAGUAGGGAAUCUUCCGCAAUGGGCGAAAGCCUGACGGAGCAACGCCGCGUGAGUGAUGAAGGUCUUCGGAUCGUAAAACUCUGUUAUUAGGGAAGAACAAAUGUGUAAGUAACUAUGCACGUCUUGACGGUACCUAAUCAGAAAGCCACGGCUAACUACGUG